rnacentral:lncRNA from 1 species
UUAGGAAAAGUGUAUAGAUUGGAAAAAAACAUAAUCUUAAUUACGAUUGUGCCAUCUCUUUGAAUAAGGAAGAGCGAGCCCUAGGAAAGGGAGUAAGAGAAUACGAUGAAGAUUGAGAGAGCUAGGGGCCGGCCACAGAUCCUUACCGUGGAUUCACGGUGGCGCACAGGCAGUAACAUCACAACCUAGCUUGUAUACUACAACAACUCACUAACCGGAAUCGAGGGUUCUUCAGUUCUACCCAUGGCUCCUCUGUUUUUUUUUUCUUCUUUUCACAUCAGUGCUUCACCAGUGCUUUUCUUUUGUUGUCCAAGAGGGAUUUCAUAUUUCAUAUUUCAUGAAGGUACUGAUUGAUGAAAAUCAAAAUCAUCCUCGCGUUUGAGGAAUAGAGGGAAUGACGAAGUACACCGGCCUUAAAGGAAGUCUGACUGCCGACUUCCGGGCGCGCCACACCCGUAGACCCUGCGAAUAUGUGCACAUUUUUGGGAUAUAGUCAAGCUUGAACGCGCUCCAAUUGCAAAUGCAAAUGUGAAUGCAAGUUCAACAACAUCAAAUGCAACAAAUGCCACGGAUUCAACCAUACCAAUAAGUCGAGCAUGAUUUUGUUUCUCUUAACCAGGACAAUGAAGAGGAAAUUGCUCUGAAAUCCACCCACAAAUGUUAAAGAACAAAAUGGGGGAAACAGGCACAAGAAGAAACGAGCAACAAAGCAAACCUUGGACCCCGAUCGAAUGGAAGCGUUAGCAUGAGCGUGGUGUAAUGAUUCUCUAGAUCCAAUAAAAAGGGUUAUUUUUUUUUCAACUAUAUACAUUAGUAUUUUAUUCACUAUAUUUAUUAUUAUGUUUAACUAAAUACAUUAUUAUUAUUAUUAUUAUUAUUAUUAUUAUUAUUAUUAUUAUUAUUAUUAUUAUUAUUAUUAUUAUUAACUUGAAAAUUUCUAACGACUAAUUAUUUUUCACAUGAUAUUGUAGCUAAUAAUCAAACGAGUGAUGGUUUCUGAAAUAAUGUUAUGGAUCAAUUUCAUGCCUCGAUGCAACAAAAUUCUUACUUUUCCAUUUCAUUAGCUCGAAAUUUAAAGACAUGAACAAGAAAGUUAUUUUUCCCGUUACUACAACGUGAUAUGCUACUUAGUAACUUUUAACGAAUUUAAGGAAAUACAAGUGUAGAGGUAGCGGAAGAAAGAACAUGAAAAGCAAGAAGCCACAAAUAGGGAAAUAGCGAGGGUUCUGUGGAUCGAAAACGAGAGCAAGAAGCCACAAAAGCAAGAAAGAACAUUAAAAACUUUAUUUUGAUUUUUCAGUUUAAUAAAAAAUAAAUUAAAUGGAUUAUACAUUAAAAAAAAAAAAAAACUGGAAAGGAACCACACCACUUGAUGGAGAAGGAGGGAAAUAAAGGGUGGAAGGGAAUGAUGACGUGCCGUUGAGUUAGAGGAUGUGAAUGAUGGGGGAGUAGUUACAACUUACAACACGCUUUAACCCUAGGGGCUUGAAGAUCAAGUAGCAAUCGAGAAGAGCGAAAAGCCAACAUUCUUACUAAGCCACUCGCAAGAAUCAAGUAUAUGGAAAUGUGGGUGUUGCUUGGAGCUAAAGACCUUCCUAAAUCCUAAAUCGAGUUGGAAAUUAGGGGGUGAUUGUUGGUCUAAUUAACCAACUUGAGCUUAUGGGCGGUGGGUCCAUACCCGAGCACAUGGGAUGGCCAAGAAUAUAGGAACCGAUUAAAGCAAGUUAAUUAGUUUCCUAUUUAUCUAUUUGUUUUAAAGAUAAUUAUAGAGAGUUAUUUUGUAAUUAUAUGGUAGUUUUAGAAUCCUAGUUG